UGCAACACAAGUAUAAUAAUGAAGUACUUAUCAAAUAGAAAAAAUAACCCAAAGAGAAAUGUAAAUGUAAUAAAAAAACAUUUUAUCAAAAUAAAAGCUUGAUAUAUUAAUGAUCUGGAAAAUCAUCCCAUAACAAUGAAGAAAUUUGUCACACAUUUCCGAAAAGCAUCAUACUUCUCACUAAUUUGCCUCACAAUUCCAAAAACAUCAUAAUUUCCGAAAAGCGCCAACUUGCAACAAAGGUUCUUCCAUUCAUACUGCAUGAUAGGUGAUUAAACUAUAUAAUUAUAAGCACGAAGAUCUACGGACCCACAAAUAAUUUUCAUAAGGAUUUAGAUUUGAAUCUUAAAAAGAUCUAACCUUAAUAUUAGAGACAAAUUAUAGAUGAAGAAAGGACAAUAAAAAAAAUGGUAUACAUACCUUACCUUUAGCGUCAAAAGAAAUUGGAAAAAGAGUGAAAAAUUUAUGAUUUUUUUUAUCAACGAAGAUAGAGAUAGUGAUGAUGAAAGUGGCUCGAGUUUUAGACACACACACACACACAGAGAGAGAGAGAGAGAGAGAGAAAGAGAGAG
rnacentral:lncRNA from 1 species